CUUGCCUUUCUUAGUAUAGCUAACGCGCUCAGAAAGAAACAAUCAAUUUUAGAGUGAAAUCGGUGUACUACAAAUGGCGCCCGUAAAUAAAAGCAAAGAACGAAAUGCUAUUUUGUCCCAUCCGGUAUGGUCCUGGCAUAAGACGUUUCCUUAUGCUGUAAGAUGCUAUCCUCUGGAUCCUUUCGACUUCGGAAAUUUUAGCGAGCAAGCUAAGAUGAUUACCAAGAACCUAAAAGUUCAAAGAAUCCUUUCCAAAAAAUAUCGGCAUUCAAGGACUUUGAUCAAACGUCUGAUACGCGAGGUCCGAAAAAUCAAGAAAAUUCUCAAAAUUUCAAAUUUCGAUAGCAAGCCUCGGAAUAAUCCCAGACAUUGAAUCGAAACCUCUUAAAAAGUUGGGAUGCUCCAAAGUAAACCAAAAAAAUGAAAAACUGUUUACUCCGCUUUAUACACAUGUAAAACAAAAACUUUGCUGAUAAAAUAAAUUUAAAAAUGUUCUGCGGAAA